rnacentral:rRNA from 1 species
AUUGAACGCUGGCGGCAGGCCUAACACAUGCAAGUCGAGCGGAUGAAGGGAGCUUGCUCCUGGAUUCAGCGGCGGACGGGUGAGUAAUGCCUAGGAAUCUGCCUGGUAGUGGGGGAUAACGUCCGGAAACGGGCGCUAAUACCGCAUACGUCCUGAGGGAGAAAGUGGGGGAUCUUCGGACCUCACGCUAUCAGAUGAGCCUAGGUCGGAUUAGCUAGUUGGUGGGGUAAAGGCCUACCAAGGCGACGAUCCGUAACUGGUCUGAGAGGAUGAUCAGUCACACUGGAACUGAGACACGGUCCAGACUCCUACGGGAGGCAGCAGUGGGGAAUAUUGGACAAUGGGCGAAAGCCUGAUCCAGCCAUGCCGCGUGUGUGAAGAAGGUCUUCGGAUUGUAAAGCACUUUAAGUUGGGAGGAAGGGCAGUAAGUUAAUACCUUGCUGUUUUGACGUUACCAACAGAAUAAGCACCGGCCAACUUCGU